UUCAGCAUAGAAUUAGGGCAAAGGUUGAGACAGUCCAGCUUUAGUUGACUGAAGUCCUGAGGGUCAGCAAAGAUCAGCAUCAUCAUUCCUUAGGUUUUGGGAUCUCAGCAUGGUCCUCGCCCUGUUCCCAAAACAUCAGGUGAAGGAGCUAGCCAUGUGGCUGUGCAGGGGAAGAAACUUCCAGGAACUAAGGCCACCAGACAGGUGGAGGAUGGUAACUUCAGGCUGAGCACGAGAUUCCUGGAGUACCGACAUGUUAUCUCACCACCAAUCAAUCAGAAGAAAGCCAUACACCCUGCAGCCUUCACCCCAAAUUUUGCCUAUAAAACUUCUCCCCGCAAACCAUCAGGGAGUUCAGGUUUUUUUGAGCA